rnacentral:rRNA from 1 species
UACGUAGGGUGCGAGCGUUGUCCGGAAUUAUUGGGCGUAAAGAGCUUGUAGGUGGUUUGUCGCGUCUGCUGUGAAAAUCCGAGGCUCAACCUCGGACUUGCAGUGGGUACGGGCAGACUAGAGUGUGGUAGGGGAGACUGGAAUUCCUGGUGUAGCGGUGGAAUGCGCAGAUAUCAGGAGGAACACCGGUGGCGAAGGCGGGUCUCUGGGCCGAUACUGACGCUGAGGAGUGAAAGCGUGGGGAGCGAACAGG